ACGGCGCCUGGGCAGCAGGAGCGGCGCGAGCGCCCCGUCCGUUCGUCACUCUGGCCGUUGUUCGUUGGAAAACGGGUAUUUUUGUGGCAUGCGCUUAGCUUUAUUUCCCUUUGAUAUAAAAGUGUAAUUCAUCGGUGCUUUGCAUGAAAAGACAUAUUUUUAGAGAUGUUACGAUCUCGGAAAAUGUUGGAUAUGCUUAAAAAUGACGCAGAAGAGCUUGAUCUUAAUUCAACAUUUACAAAAUAUGAUGCUGUUUAUACAAAGAACAGCGUAAAUACUGUUGUGUAUGAUAACGAAACCACUAUGACACAUCAAGCGUCAUCAUUGCCUCCUGGUGCAAAAGAAAUUUGUCAGGAACUAGCUGACGUAUAGGAAGAAAUCCUGCAUGAAGAUAAUGUAACCAGAGAAAUUACCUGCGACAGCUCAAUACCGAAUGCCACGUCUGAUCUGUCUACCGAGAGAGUCUACAGCAAUCAACCUAGUACACUUUCUUUGGAAGCACCUUCUAGUUUCGAAAAUUCACCAAUAGCCAGCUUGAAAACUUAGAAGUUUUUGACGAUAGGUUUACUCCGAUAAAUUUGGGACUAUCAGUGCUAAUUCCCAUUCCGUCUCCUACUAAUUUCAAUAAGUCCUGCGAUAACAUUUUCUGCGCUAAUCAUGUAGACUCUUUGAUUUCUUCGUCCUCAUUUAGCACUACAAAUACGCCUGCUCUUUCGUACUCAAUCAAUUACACUACAACUAGAAAACGGCAGAGGCACCCAAAAGAAUGGACAGACCUUAAACGCAAAUCCUUUAAGAACUUUAGUAAAAAAUACGUUACAAAAAA
rnacentral:misc_RNA from 1 species